rnacentral:rRNA from 1 species
GGCUUGGCGCGCGCGGCGCGGCUCUCUGAGUUGUCUGCCGUUGUGCGCCUGCCAUCCUUGCGUCGGCUGUCUGUGCCCUUCACUGGGUUGCAGGCGGUCCGUCGCAUCUUUUACUUUGAAAAAAUUAGAGUGUUUAAAGCAGGCUUGCGCUAUGAAUACAUUAGCAUGGAAUAAUAAUUUAGGACUUCUGUUCUAUUUUGUUGGUUUCUAGGAUGGAAGUA